rnacentral:rRNA from 1 species
GACGAACGCUGGCGGCAUGCCUAAUACAUGCAAGUCGAGCGAACAGAUGAGGUGCUUGCACUUCUGACGUUAGCGGCGAACGGGUGAGUAACACGUAAGGAAUCUACCUAUAAGCGGGGGAUAACAUUCGGAAACGGGUGCUAAUACCGCAUAAUAUCUUCUUCCGCAUGGAAGAAGAUUGAAAGACGGCUCUGCUGUCACUUAUAGAUGACCUUGCGGUGCAUUAGUUAGUUGGUGGGGUAACGGCCUACCAAGACGAUGAUGCAUAGCCGACCUGAGAGGGUGAUCGGCCACAUUGGGACUGAGACACGGCCCAAACUCCUACGGGAGGCAGCAGUAGGGAAUCUUCCGCAAUGGGCGAAAGCCUGACGGAGCAAUGCCGCGUGAGUGAAGAAGGCCUUCGGGUCGUAAAACUCUGUUAUAAGAGAAGAACAAAUUGUAGAGUAACUGCUACAGUCUUGACGGUAUCUUAUCAGAAAGCCACGGCUAACUACGUGCCAGCCGCCGCAUAA